ACUGUAGAAAUCUCAUUGUCGGAGAAGCUCGGAUAUUGACGAAGUCCGGAAGAAGUUCAGAGUAGGGUUGUCCGCGGCCGGAAGAAGUCCGGAAGGGAUUCGGAGAAUAGUUGAUCACUGUAGAAGGUCGGCUGAUGAUGAGGCCCAGAGAGCCUUUGGAGCGGCCAGGUAGAUGAAUGGAGAAGCUCAUUGUCGGAGAAGUCCGGAUGAUCAAGGG
rnacentral:lncRNA from 1 species